UUUAAAAUUUGUCAAAAAAAAAAGCAUAACCACAGUUCAUUGAAAACUGUGGUACUACUGGUUAGAUUCCAUGAAAAAAAAUUAGAUUUCUAUAGGAUUCUAGGUUAAAAAAAUUGUAGUCCCCAUAACUCUUCACAUUCCAGUCGCUGCCCUCCUUCUCCGGUGACGGCUCCUGCAUGCGGCGAUGACAAGCCAGACCCCAUCCAGCGCUCUCCCGCCGCCCAGCCUAGAUGGAGGAUCCGCGAUAGCGUGCGACUCCUCCUUCCAUUUGCGCGACGACCCUGGACGGCGUCUACCUCCCCUGUGCGCGGCCGAGCCCCCAACUAUAGUUGACAGCCACAAAGUUUUGGCAAACAAUCACAAUCACAAAUAUAUAUAUAUAUAUAUAUUUAUACAUUUAUAGGUUCCACAUGGAAAUUAUAGAACCGAAAGCCUACCUAAUGCUUCGAAGGGCAUAACUUCUUUUUGGAGUGCUGGUGAUAUUCCUCUCCUAUGGGACCAUGAGGGACUCCUUUUGAAGGUUGUAUGUUUCAACUUGCUUUUUGCAGUUCCCGAGCAGUAUCCUUUACAACCUUGUCAAGUGAGGCUCAUAACCAAAAAAAUUCAUCCUAGUGUUUACUUCAAGGAGAGAUUUGCCUUGAUAACUUAAAGAAUGAAUGCAUGGAGCCCUGCGUGGACACUCCAAUCUGUUUGUAGAGCUAUUAUUGCAUUGGUGGCACUUCCAGAGCAUGAUAGCCCCACUCCUUUGUGAUUCAGCAAGCGAUAUUUUGCUCCUUGGCUGGAAUUCUACAUCUGGGCAACUUUGAAUUUUCUCCUUGGAUCAGAAAUCAACAUCUCAUCUACUAGAUGCUUGAACUUCAAAUAUGUAUUUGUGUCCAUGUUUAUAUCACCACUAUUAUUUUAUUAAUUUGCUCAUUUUGUAAAACAAUUUAUUUUUUCAUUAAUGAAAUUUAGCAAUUUCAUAUUA